UACAGGCUGAAUUUUGAGCUUGAGAUGCUCAAAAUGGAGCAUAAGCAGGUGAUGUCUGCCCUGCAGAAAUUGCCCAUAGAGAUCCUUGAUGCCUUGGAGAAGUGCUCGGGUCUGAUUGAGGAGACUGAAUCCUUCAGUUAUAUCAAUGUCCAGGUCCUAUGAGAGUGUACUCAGCUACAGAAGAAUGUACAUAUGUUGAGACUGAAGAACAGACUACCAUGGAAGGAGCAGACUGAACUGCAAGAGUCCUGUGAGGAGCUGAAGAGGCUCUUGUAGGAGGCUCAUGAGAUGAUCUGUGACUCUUCUGCUGAGCAACAGCAGG